rnacentral:rRNA from 1 species
CUAGUUGGUGAGGUAAAAGCUUACCAAGGCAACGACGGGUAGGGGACCUGAGAGGGUGACCCCCCACACUGGGACUGAGACACGGCCCAGACUCCUACGGGAGGCAGCAGUGAGGAAUAUUGCACAAUGGGCGCAAGCCUGAUGCAGCGACGCCGCGUGGGUGAAGAAGGUUUUCGGAUCGUAAAACCCUUCUCUGUGUGACGAGCAAGGACGGUAGCACAGGAAUAAGUCUCGGCUAACUACGUGCCAGCAGCCGCGGUAAAACGUAGGAGACAAACGUUAUCCGGAGUUACUGGGCGUAAAGGGCGUGUAGGUGGUUGAGUAAGUCUGGCGUGAAAUUUUUCGGCUUAACCGGGAAAGGUCGUCGGAUACUGCUGAACUAGAGGACGGUAGAGGCGUGUGGAAUUCCGGGUGUAGUGGUGAAAUGCGUAGAGAUCCGGAGGAACACCAGUGGCGAAGGCGACACGCUGGGCCGUACCUGACACUGAUGCGCGACAGCAUGGGGAGCAAACAGGAUUAGAAACCCUGGUAGUCCAUGCCGUAAACGAUGCUAGCUGGGUGUUCAGGGGGGGAAACCCCUCGGGGUACCGAAGUCAACACGGUAAGCUAGCCGCCUGGGGAGUACGGUCGCAAGAUUAAAACUCAAAGGAAUUGACG